rnacentral:rRNA from 1 species
UACGUAGGUGGCAAGCGUUAUCCGGAUUUAUUGGGUGUAAAGGGCGUGUAGGCGGGAGCGCAAGUCAGAUGUGAAAACUCAGGGCUCAACCCUGAGCCUGCAUUUGAAACUGUGUUUCUUGAGUGCUGGAGAGGCAAUCGGAAUUCCGUGUGUAGCGGUGAAAUGCGUAGAUAUACGGAGGAACACCAGUGGCGAAGGCGGAUUGCUGGGCCAUUACUGACGCUCAUGCACGAAAGCGUGGGGAGCAAAUAGG